rnacentral:rRNA from 1 species
UACGUAGGGUGCGAGCGUUGUCCGGAAUUAUUGGGCGUAAAAGGCUCGUAGGCGGUCUGUUGCGUCGGGAGUGAAAACUCAGGGCUUAACCCUGAGCCUGCUUCCGAUACGGGCAGACUAGAGGUAUGCAGGGGAGAACGGAAUUCCGGGUGUAGCGGUGAAAUGCGCAGAUAUCAGGAGGAACACCGGUGGCGAAGGCGGUUCUCUGGGCAUUACCUGACGCUGAGGAGCGAAAGUGUGGGGAGCGAACAGG